GGUCCAGCAAUAUGAGCUGACGACAGCAUCAACAUCGCCAGAUAAUAUAACUGACAUUACAAUCAAUGGAACAUCGGGCAGUGUCCAUGUACGCGACCUGAUGACAACAUCAACACCGACAGAUAUGAAAACUGAAACCACUGGACUCAAAAGAACAUCAGGCAGUGAUUCGGUACCUACGGUUGAAGUAACACAGUGGAAGACUGAAAAUCCAGACCUGUCAGCGACCCGAAAAG